rnacentral:rRNA from 1 species
GCCUGAUGGAGGGGGAUAACUACUGGAAACGGUAGCUAAUACCGCAUAACGUCGCAAGACCAAAGAGGGGGACCUUCGGGCCUCUUGCCAUCGGAUGUGCCCAGAUGGGAUUAGCUUGUUGGUGGGGUAACGGCUCACCAAGGCGACGAUCCCUAGCUGGUCUGAGAGGAUGACCAGCCACACUGGAACUGAGACACGGUCCAGACUCCUACGGGAGGCAGCAGUGGGGAAUAUUGCACAAUGGGCGCAAGCCUGAUGCAGCCAUGCCGCGUGUAUGAAGAAGGCCUUCGGGUUGUAAAGUACUUUCAGCGGGGAGGAAGGGAGUAAAGUUAAUACCUUUGCUCAUUGACGUUACCCGCAGAAGAAGCACCGGCUAACUCCGUGCCAGCAGCCGCGGUAAUACGGAGGGUGCAAGCGUUAAUCGGAAUUACUGGGCGUAAAGCGCACGCAGGCGGUUUGUUAAGUCAGAUGUGAAAUCCCCC